rnacentral:rRNA from 1 species
CUGUGAAACAAGAUACAGGCUAGCGGCGGACGGGUGAGUAACACGUGGGUAACCUGCCCAAGAGAUCGGGAUAACACCUGGAAACAGAUGCUAAUACCGGAUAACAACAGAUGAUGCCUAUCAACUGUUUAAAAGAUGGUUCUGCUAUCACUCUUGGAUGGACCUGCGGUGCAUUAGCUAGUUGGUAGGGUAACGGCCUACCAAGGCGAUGAUGCAUAGCCGAGUUGAGAGACUGAUCGGCCACAUUGGGACUGAGACACGGCCCAAACUCCUACGGGAGGCAGCAGUAGGGAAUCUUCCACAAUGGACGCAAGUCUGAUGGAGCAACGCCGAGUGAGUGAAGAAGGGUUUCGGCUCGUAAAGCUCUGUUGUUGGUGAAGAAGGACAGGAGUAGUAACUGACCUUUGUUUGACGGU